rnacentral:rRNA from 1 species
GACGAACGCUGGCGGCGUGCUUAACACAUGCAAGUCGAACGGAAAGGCCCUGCUUUUGUGGGGUGCUCGAGUGGCGAACGGGUGAGUAACACGUGAGUAACCUGCCCUUGACUUUGGGAUAACUUCAGGAAACUGGGGCUAAUACCGGAUAGGAGCUCCUGCUGCAUGGUGGGGGUUGGAAAGUUUCGGCGGUUGGGGAUGGACUCGCGGCUUAUCAGCUUGUUGGUGGGGUAGUGGCUUACCAAGGCUUUGACGGGUAGCCGGCCUGAGAGGGUGACCGGCCACAUUGGGACUGAGAUACGGCCCAGACUCCUACGGGAGGCAGCAGUGGGGAAUAUUGCACAAUGGGCGGAAGCCUGAUGCAGCAACGCCGCGUGCGGGAUGACGGCCUUCGGGUUGUAAACCGCUUUCGCCUGUGACGAAGCGUGAGUGACGGUAAUGGGUAAAGAAGCACCGGCUAACUACGUGCCAGCAGCCGCGGUGAUACGUAGGGUGCGAGCGUUGUCCGGAUUUAUUGGGCGUAAAGGGCUCGUAGGUGGUUGAUCGCGUCGGAAGUGUAAUCUUGGGGCUUAACCCUGAGCGUGCUUUCGAUACGGGUUGACUUGAGGAAGGUAGGGGAGAAUGGAAUUCCUGGUGGAGCGGUGGAAUGCGCAGAUAUCAGGAGGAACACCAGUGGCGAAGGCGGUUCUCUGGGCCUUUCCUGACGCUGAGGAGCGAAAGCGUGGGGAGCGAACAGGCUUAGAUACCCUGGUAGUCCACGCUGUAAACGGUGGGUACUAGGUGUGGGGUCCAUUCCACGGGUUCCGUGCCGUAGCUAACGCUUUAAGUACCCCGCCUGGGGAGUACGGCCGCAAGGCUAAAACUCAAAGGAAUUGACGGGGCCCCGCACAAGCGGCGGAGCAUGCGGAUUAAUUCGAUGCAACGCGUAGAACCUUACCUGGGUUUGACAUGGAUCGGGAGCGCUCAGAGAUGGGUGUGCCUCUUUUGGGGUCGGUUCACAGGUGGUGCAUGGCUGUCGUCAGCUCGUGUCGUGAGAUGUUGGGUUAAGUCCCGCAACGAGCGCAACCCUUGUUCACUGUUGCCAGCACGUUAUGGUGGGGACUCAGUGGAGACCGCCGGGGUCAACUCGGAGGAAGGUGGGGAUGACGUCAAGUCAUCAUGCCCCUUAUGUCCAGGGCUUCACGCAUGCUACAAUGGCCGGUACAGAGAGUGGCGAGCCUGUGAGGGUGAGCGAAUCUCGGAAAGCCGGUCUCAGUUCGGAUUGGGGUCUGCAACUCGACCUCAUGAAGUCGGAGUCGCUAGUAAUCGCAGAUCAGCAACGCUGCGGUGAAUACGUUCCCGGGGCU